rnacentral:lncRNA from 1 species
UGUGUGGCAAGCCCUCUCUACGGAAUUUGGUCUCCAGGGCCACUUUUGACCUUAAUCCUCCUUGGAGCCAUCAACCACAGAGUUGCUUGCUUCUAAUAGUGGUGUAAUGCAUAUAUUAAGCCCUGGAAUGAAGACAUGAUUCAUUUCCCAUGGAUCACUGAGCACUUUGUGGCAACCUAGCCCCAUUCUGAUGACCCUAAGAUAAAGAAAUCCAGAAGCGUGCGACUUGAACCAUCUUUUCUCCCAUGAUGCACUGCUGUCAACACCGCAUAAUUGUAAAAGCCCAUGCCAUGCUGAUUAUAUAUAGAAAUGAUCUAAGUCAACUGCAUUCCAUUUGGUAUACAGGCAAGGAUUUUUCCAUGCCUAUCCAUCUGUUGCUGGUGGCAAUGAUGAGUUUUGUCAUUUGCUUUUUUUUCUUCCUUCCUUCCUUCUUCCUUUCUUUCUUCCAUCCUUCCUCCUUCCUUUCUUUCUUCCAUCCUUCCUUCUUCCUUCCUUCCUUCCAUCCUUCCUUCUUCCUUCCUUCCUUCCUUCCUUCCAUCUUUCCUUCAUUCAUUUGUUCCUUCCUUUUUUCCUUCCUUCCUAACUUCUUCCUUCCUUCCUUCUUCUUCUUCUUCUUCUUCUUCUUCUUCUUCUUCUUCUUCCUUCCUUCCUUCCUUCCUUUCUUCCUUCCCUCCUUCUUCCUUCCUUUCUUCUAUCCUUCCUUUCUUCCUCCUUCCUUCCUUCUUCCUUCUUCCCUCUUUCUCUUCCUUUUACUUAAAUAUUUAUGACUACAUUGCAACCAACAUUUUGCAACACCCUCAGCACAGAAGGGAUUAAGUCAUAAUUCACAUCUGAAUAGUACAAUCAGCAAUAGGAAGAGCAGCAGGGAGGAAAAUUGUUCACCUUUUCUCGAUGUUAUAAUGCCUGGCUUGGACCCCAGAUUCAUGUUAUACUCUGAAGAAGUUCAUAAAUUCUGGGCACUGCUCAGCUUGGGGAGGCAGGCAGUAUCCCUUCACACCUCAGGGUGAGAUGAGUGGUCUGUUGAAGCUCUGCCAUCCCAGAAUGUGUUCGCCUCUGCUUGUUUUCUCCCCCCAAGCCAGAGUGUAGUUAAACAUUUACACGUCCCAGGCCGGGAGACCGGGUUCAGGAGAGCUUGAAUAUUUUGCUUGGCUGUUGAUGACAUUGAGGCCGAGUGUGGUUCUCCAGCUUCAAGAUGUCAGUUUGCUGCCUCGCCGUUUUUAUUAGAAUAUCUAGAGAUUGCAGGUGUUGGUUAGGAAAUAAUUUUUCUGCGUUUGGUUUCUCUCCACGCAUUUGGCCUUCCGGGACCUUUCGGACCAGGCUGGAUGGCUGUAUCCUGGUACCAAAUUCGGCCUAUUCCAAAUGGAAAGAACCAUGAUAGAGGAGCAAGACUGUUCUUGGGCUCUGCGGUGGUGGCGGUGGUGGUGAUAUCAGUGGAGUGGUUAUAGGUGGAGGUGAUGAUAAAGAAACCACUAGUGAGAAUAAAGAUGGGUAUUUUCUCAGCUCUUAAACCAAUUUCCCACUUGCUAACAGGUGGGUUCUGAUCUAUUUUCCCUAGAAAACACUGGCCUAUCUGAUCAAACAAGGGCAUUCUUUCUGAGAUCAGACCUUAUGGGCACUUAUGACCAAACUAUACUUGCCUAUUAAUUUACUCAAAACUGGGUUGCCUGCUAAGCCCCCUUCCCCACCUCUGGCAUAAAAAACAAGACAUGUGGAGGAAUAAUUAGAUCACCUGGAGUCCAGUGUUGCCUAUGGCUUAGUGGUGCAAAGAAGCCAGGAUUUCUAGAAGUAUCUGUCUUUUGCCAUUUCUGAGAUGGUGAGAAAAUCUAUCCGGAGUGUUUAUGCCCCUCUUGAUAGCCAAGCCAUAAGCUUCCUUUUAUACUGUGCUAUGAGCUUAGUCACUGCCCCCAGAAAAGACAAUUUCACGAUGACUUACUUCCUCAUAAUCAUUGGAACAGUCUCAGGAGGACACGCACACUGCUGCAUUCCUUAAGGCCUGGCACAUUGUCAAGUGGUAAACUUGUGGAGCAAAUAAGAGACCUGGCCUGGUUCAAAAGGCUGUCAGAAGUGAUCCAGAGUUCAGGCUUCCCCUGGCCUUUUAUCCUCUCACCCUCUUUCCUCUGUGCCUCCGCCUCCUUUCCUUCCGGUCUCUCCAUCUGGAAACCAUGAGCCUUGUAGACUCCAGACACAAAUUCUCAGAUUUCAGAUGUUUGGGAAAUUUCUCUGCUUGGGUCAUUCUUCAAGAGUAAGAGAAUUCAAUAAGGGCGGAAAAACAGCUGAGACCCUUCCACAGAAAACAAAUAAGGGACGGCCAUCCCCUCUGCCAACUCAGCGCCAAACCCCCAGCAAUAAUCUAACUUCAGAAAAAGUAUUGAGAUCCUCCCCCCCACCCACCAGAAGAGAACAGAAUAGGAAAACAAAAUGUCCGCUCAUAAAAACAUACUUUUCUCCCUCGUGAGGCAUAAACACAACUGGCAUCAGAUAAUACGACGUAAUUGAUUUUGUGUGUCUUACUGGGGAAGGGAAGGGUCUCUGGAGAGUAGACCCACCAGUGGUGGAAUGAAGGGAAAGGUAAGGUUUAGCCUAAAUUGUUAGGGAGAAACUGUUAACAUUACGAACCACUUGACUCCAGUGUUGAAUCUCCAGGACGAAGAGCAAAUGUGUGGUCUUUGGAAAAUGAAACGAGGCCGCUCCUGAUCCUGGGUUUAGAAACAGACAAACUUGGCUCUGGUACUGGCUCUGUCCUUGACUCUGAGGGAUUAAAGGGGAAGCUGGAUCUACAGGGCUUAGGACAGUACCUGCACUUAGGAAGCGGUAGCUUGUGAUGACUGCUUAUCGUGAUGACCGUCAUGCAUCCGAAUGGAGUCUUCUUGGGGCCGUGGAAGAUGGAGCUUGCCCUUACGUUGCCCCACACUGGCUCCUCUGCUCAGCCUCCAACUCUUCCCCGAGGCCACCGCAUAGCCCUCUCUGCCACACCCAUCCAGUCACACUUUCGUAUCCGUAUCUCAAAUUACAUGCACUUAUUUGUUCAUACAGUAACUUUUUGAAGGUUGUCUUGUUCGUUCACUGCUGUAUUAGCAAUGCUGACAAAAUUGCCCGCCGCAAAAUAGAUGUUCGAAAAAUACUCGCGGACUCUGGGACUAACGUCUUGAUAGCAUUCAUAUCCAGUUACUCCAGAUAUUACAUCUUGAUGCAGAAAACUGGGUGACGCCCUUAGCGACAUCUUUGCCAGCAGGAGUGCCCAAAGCAUGUGGUGCCACCAAAAGGCACUUGCUUUUCCCAGGAGGAGGGGGACGAGAGCUGGGAAACCUAGCUGCUGUCCCUGCUGUGC